CAAAGCCCCGUAGUGAAGUAGCAUGUUGGAUUGCAAAUCCAGAGACGCAGAGUAAUACCCUGCCGGGGCUUU
rnacentral:tRNA from 1 species